rnacentral:rRNA from 1 species
UACAGAGGGUGCGAGCGUUAAUCGGAAUUACUGGGCGUAAAGCGCGCGUAGGCGGUUUUGUAAGUCGGGUGUGAAAUCCCCAAGCUUAACUUGGGAACUGCAUUCGAGACUGCAUAGCUAGAGUAUGGGAGAGGGAAGUGGAAUUUCAGGUGUAGCGGUGAAAUGCGUAGUUAUCUGAAGGAACAUCAGUGGCGAAAGCGACUUCCUGGACCAAUACUGACGCUCAUGUGCGAAAGCGUGGGGAGCAAACAGG